rnacentral:tRNA from 1 species
GGUUAUGGCUCAGUGGCAGAGCACUAGCCUACCAUGUAUGAGGCACUGGGUUCAAUUCUCGGCACCA